rnacentral:rRNA from 1 species
UUCCGGUUGAUCCUGCCGGACCUUACUGCUAUCGGGAUGAGACUAAGACAUGCUAGUUGUGCGCACCCUAGCCAUGUUGGGAGCGCAGCGUACAGCUCCGUAACACGUGGUCAAUCUGCCCUUAGGACGGGGAUAACCCCCGGGAAACUGGGGCUAAUAUCCGAUAGGCGGAAAAGCCUGGAAUGGCCUUCCACCUAAAGGGCUUUAGGAACAUGCUCCUAAAAUUGCCUAAGGAUGAGACUGCGUCCGAUCAGGUUGUUGGUGGGGUAGCGGCCUACCAAGCCUAUAACCGGUACGGGCCCUGAGAGGGGGAGCCCGGAGAUGGGAACUGAGACAAGGUCCCAGACCCUACGGGGUGCAGCAGUUGCGAAACCUCUACAAUGCACGAAAGUGUGAUAGGGUUAUCCCGAGUGCCAUCCGAUGAGGAUAGCUUUUCCCCGGUGUAAGGAGCCGGGGGAAUAAAGGGGGGGCAAGACUGGUGUCAGCCGCCGCGGUAAUACCAGCCCCCUGAGUGGUAUGGACGAUUAUUUGGCCUAAAGCGUUCGUAGCCGGCUUAGCAAAUCUUUCGUUAAAUCCGGCGACUUAAUCGUCGAGCUGCGAGAGAUACUACUAGGCUUGAGGACGGGAGAGGUCGACGGUAUUCCGGGGGUAGGGGCAAAAUCCUAUAAUCCUCGGAGGACCACCAGUGGCGAAGGCGGUCGACUAGAACGUGCCUGACGGUGAUGGACGAAAGCUGGGGGAGCAAACCGGAUUAGACACCCGGGUAGUCCCAGCCGUAAACGAUGCGGGCUAGGUGUUGGGGUAGCCACGAGCUGCUCCAGUGCCGCUGAGAAGUCAUUAAGCCCGCCGCCUGGGAAGUACGGUCGCAAGACUGAAACUUAAAGGAAUUGGCGGGGGAGCACCACAAGGGGUGAAGCCUGCGGUUCAAUUGGAGUCAACGCCAGGAAACUUACCGGGGCUGACAGCAGGGUGAAGGCCAGACUAAAGAUCUUGCCAGACAAGCUGAGAGGAGGCGCAUGGCCGUCGACAGUUCGCGCCGUGAGGUGUCCUGUUAAGUCAGGUAACGAACGAGACCCCCACCAUUAAUUGCCAGCGGAUCCCAAUGGGAUGCCGGGCACAAUAAUGGAACUGCCGCCGAUAAGGCGGAGGAAGGAGGGGGCCACGGCAGGUCAGUAUGCCCCGAAUGCCCCGGGCCACACGCGGGCUGCAAUAGUAGGGACAGAGGGUCCCAACCUCGAAAGGGGAAGGCAAUCCCUAAACCCUACUUCAGUUGGAAUCGAGGGCUGAAACUCGCCCUCGUGAACAUGGAAUCCCUAGUAACCGCGUGUCAUCAUCGCGCGGUGAAUACGUCCCCGCUCCUUGCACACACCGCCCGUCGCUCCAUCCAAGUUGGGUCUAGAUGAGGCCUGGUCUACUUGGCCAUGUCAAAUCUGGGUUCGGCGAGGGGGGAGAAGUCGUAACAAGGUAGCC